rnacentral:pre_miRNA from 1 species
GUGCAUUGUAGUUGCAUUGCACGUUGUCAAUUCUUUGUUUCGCGCAAUGCUUCGGCAGUGCAACUC